rnacentral:rRNA from 1 species
AACGAACGCUGGCGGCAGGCUUAACACAUGCAAGUCGAACGGUUGUAGCAAUACAGCAGUGGCAGACGGGUGAGUAACACGCGGGAACCUUCCUAGGGGUACGGAACAACUCAGGGAAACUUGAGCUAAUACCGUAUACGUCCGUGAGGAGAAAGAUUUAUCGCCCUUAGACGGGCCCGCGUAGGAUUAGGUAGUUGGUGGGGUAAUGGCCUACCAAGCCUACGAUCCUUAGCUGAUCUGAGAGGAUGAUCAGCCACACUGGGACUGAGACACGGCCCAGACUCUACGGGAGGCAGCAGUGGGGAAUCUUGGACAAUGGGCGCAAGCCUGAUCCAGCCAUGCCGCGUGAGUGAAGAAGGCCUGUUGUAAGU